rnacentral:rRNA from 1 species
UUGAAAGGGAAACGAUUGAAGUCAGUCGUACCUGCGGGUAAUCAGCCUUUUGGGCAUGAUUCUGUGGAGCAUGAGGAGUUAAACGCCUUCAUGCCUGCAUAUUCGUGUACUUUGGGUGUACUUGCCUGUGUGGUUAGUUAACAUCAAUUUUGGUUAUCAUAAAAUGGUUGGAGGAAUGUAGCUUCGAUUUCGAUUGAAGUGUUAUAGCCUUCGGCAGAUGUGAUGAUCGGGAUUGAGGAUUGCAACGGAUACCCUUCGGGGCUACCUGUCUGGUCUCUGAUCGUUGCUCUGGUGCCGAAAGCGUGCUUACGGUUAUCAAAGUCGAUGGUCAAUAGGUUAGAACGGGCUAAAUUCGUUAAGGAUGUUGACGUA